rnacentral:rRNA from 1 species
UACGGGGGGGGCAAGCGUUGUUCGGAAUUACUGGGCGUAAAGGGCUCGUAGGCGGCCAACUAAGUCGGAUGUGAAAUCCCCAGGCUUAACCUGGGAAUUGCAUCCGAUACUGGAUGGCUUGAAUCCGGGAGAGGGAUGCGGAAUUCCAGGUGUAGCGGUGAAAUGCGUAGAUAUUUGGAGGAACACCGGUGGCGAAGGCGGCAUCCUGGACCGGCAUUGACGCUGAGGAGCGAAAGCCAGGGGAGCAAACGGG